UACGGGGGGGGCAAGCGUUGUUCGGAAUUACUGGGCGUAAAGGGCGCGUAGGCGGCCUGCUAAGUCGGAUGUGAAAUCCCUCGGCUCAACCGAGGAACUGCAUCCGAUACUGGCGGGCUUGAAUCCGGGAGAGGGAUGUGGAAUUCCAGGUGUAGCGGUGAAAUGCGUAGAUAUCUGGAGGAACACCGGUGGCGAAGGCGGCAUCCUGGACCGGUAUUGACGCUGAGGCGCGAAAGCUAGGGUAGCAAACGGG
rnacentral:rRNA from 1 species